rnacentral:rRNA from 1 species
GACGAACGCUGGCGGCGUGCUUAACACAUGCAAGUCGAACGGAGCUGUUUAUUUCGGUAGAUAGCUUAGUGGCAAACGGGUGAGUAACGCGUAGGCAACCUGCCCUUAGGAUGGGGACAACGGCCCGAAAGGACCGCUAAUACCGAAUGGACUCUAACUUUCGCAUGAAAGAAAGAGGAAAGAUGGUGCAAGCCAUCGCCGAAGGAAGGGCCUGCGUCUGAUUAGCCAGUUGGUGAGGUAACGGCUCGCCAAAGCAACGAUCAGUAGCCGGUCUGAGAGGAUGAACGGCCACAAUGGGACUGAGACACGGCCCAUACUCCUACGGGAGGCAGCAGUGGGGAAUCUUCCGCAAUGGGCGAAAGCCUGACGGAGCAACGCCGCGUGAGUGAAGAAGGUCUUCGGAUCGUAAAGCUCUGUUGUUGGGGACGAAAGGGAAGGGGAGGAAAUGC